GAGUAGUGCAACACGCAGGUGCGGGAAGUAUACCUAACUACAUUUCCCAAUGUGCCUUGCACCAGAGGGCUCGGGUUGGUCGCUCCGAUGGGCAUGAGGAAAGCUUCACGAGCCUCCGGCUUCUUUGCAUGUUGGGAGUUGUAGUCUUCGGAGGCGGGUUGCUUGGCUUGUGAAGCAGAGACGGCAUCACUGUAGGUGGAACUCCGAAGGCAACAAGUGUCUGGGCCGCGCGGAAUGGACAAGCUGAAGCGGGUUCUAAGCGGGAAGGACGCCGAAGAGCCGGGGGUCCUGGCCGAGGUGGCUGAUGCAUCUUCCUUAAGCUGGAGUACGAGAGUGAAAGGCUUUAUAGCUUGUUUUGCUAUAGGAGUUCUGUGCUCUAUUCUGGGUACUUGCCUGCUAUGGCUUCCCAGGAGGGGGACAGUCUUGUUUGCAGUAUUUUACACUUUGGGGAAUAUCUCAUCCCUUGGAAGCACCAUCUUUCUUAUGGGACCUAUGAGGCAAUUGAAGAGAAUGUUUGAACCCACGCGUUUGAUAGCUACUAUUGUUAUGCUUUUGUGUCUCAUAUUAACUCUUUGUUCGGCUUUUUGGUGGCACAAUAAGGGACUUGCUCUCAUCUUCUGCGUUUUGCAGUUCUUUGCCUUGGCAUGGUACAGCAUUUCCUAUAUACCAUUUGCAAGGGAUGCUGUGAAGAAAUGUUUCACUGCGUGUCUCACAUAACACAAAAGCAAACAGUUUACACCCUCAAAAUCUGCUCCAGAGCAUUGGAGGACCUCACUACCAAUUGUUAUAGGUAGCAAGGACUAAAAGCUUUCUGGCCAGCACAAUAAGUGUCAUCUCCUUACACUGAAAUGUCACACUGAGGACUAGAAGACCUGCACAAUUGUAUGGCAUUUGUCUCUGCACACACCUUCCUGGGAGCAAAGCUAUUAAGCUUGCUAGCUUAACAUGUGAACAACAGGACAAAGCUACCAAGUAUUCUCCUAAGGUUAAUGAGUUUUGUGAUAAAAAGCCCCAAGAGCAACAAAGCAUUCCUUUCACUUGCUUACCUAAGCUAUUGUGUGCGUCUGGCACAAAAUUGUUUCUUUCAGAUUUUGUUGUUGUUGAAAUGGAUAUUAUGGUCAUCCCAAGGUAAAUGGGAUUUGAAAUUACUGCUCCUGUUCACACUUUAUUUAUAGGGUCCAAACAACAGUUUACACAUUGGAUACUGUGGCCUUGUAGCCAGGAACAUGAUGGAUGUCCGUAUGGAUAACCAUGUAGUUCUUUUUGUCUUAUUGUCAAGAACUUAGUUUUCAGCUCCCAAUGUCCUUUUUUGUCUCCUACAAUAAUGGAAGGGGGCUUAGUGUGGAGCUGCCUUCUAAUCCAACAGCAAGCAUAAUUCCUUAUUGUAAUAUAACUGAGACAUUAAUAGUGAGUCGUUGUCCAGCCAGCAAUAGAAGCAUCAAUGUGCGGAUACAAGUGGGAAUCAUAAAAGCAAGCAAGUGCCCUUCAAUUUCUGCAAGCAGUUUACUGUUUAUUGCAUACCUUUUAUGGUCUUUUAAGACCUGAAUAUGAAAUAACACAUUGCCUCAUGAAUUGUUUGUCAUUUUGGCAGCUUCUGUUUCACUAGAUUCCCAUUCACAUUCCUCUUGAUACAUAUGACUUCAUACAGCUCUCCAACUAUGAAGAGGAGGAAUAUCUUGUGUUUUUUAAAACUCUUUCCCCCUGCUUUGAUUUCUGUUCACAUUGGCUGCCUAGCUGUGAUUGCUAGGAAUUGGAGGGACUUGUGUUGUGUUUCAUGUUCUGGCUUCCCAGUAAGACAGUAUCAUGUAAUGGUUGGAGCAGACAUUUAGACACUGGAAAAUCGUUGCUGCAUUCCUUUUUCUCUGAUUCAUAUGUCAUAUGAACUUUUCUCCAUGUAACAAGGAAUGAAGGAUGUUGUCCCCCCUCCCCCAAGAAAUACUGUACAGUUAUUUGAGAGUAACUAAUCCUUGUUUUUAUGCUAUCCUAAUGUUUGUCUUAGAAUCUAUUAUUGGAGCACUUUGGGAAACCUCUAAGCUGCAGAUAUGAAAAGAAAAGGGGCUGUUAGUCAAAUUCCUUGCUAGAGUUACUUUUAGGACUGAUUGUCUUCAGGUAUUUUACCUCCCACUCUGCUCUCUCACAUCAUUGGGAAGAGAAUAACACUGUAUCUGAACACAGAAAUUUCCCAGAACGACUGUAGAGUACCAGAAUUAAACUUAAUCUUGUACAGAUCUGGCUCUAACAUUUGGAUCUGCAUAAUUGGCUAACUAUAGCUUUUUUCAUUGGAAAUGAUUGCCUGUUUAUAACCUGGGGUUUCUAGAAUCUUAGUUGUACUGUACAGCUUUGCCAAGCAAGCACAUUGAGAGAUUUAGAAAAUUAGACAUUCAUGAGGAUUUUUUAAAAGGACAAAUUCAAGUAUUGCAGCUCUGAUGUCAAUAAGCUAUACAAAUUGAAGUCUGUGAAAUUUCUUGUUUGUAGUUCUCAGCCACUUUACAAUAAGUAGCUGGAAAAUUGCAGCCUUAACUUACAAAUCAUAUAUGCACUGAAUAUAAAUGAAUGUCAGUCAAGAUGGUUACUAUAAACACUACCUUAGGGUUGCCAGUCAGACCUAAGAGACUAUCGUAGCACAGACUGCUGAUUUUCAUCUGUUCAUUUAGUUCAUAGUUUAUUUAUAUACCACUUUUUGGCCAAAAGGCCCCCAAAGUGGUGAACAACAUAUUAAAACAUAUUACAAAAAAAAAAAAUUACAUAAGAAAUAACCAGUAAAAAAAUACAGUAAAAUUACAAUGCAACAAGAACAAAGUAAAAAAAAAAAUUGCAACAAAAACAAUGUGUUCUUUGUUUUCAAAUGAUGCACACAAUUACCACAGCAGACAUGGAUUUAGGAGAGACAUUCCUUCUUUCUCGGAAACUUAUAAUGUCAUCGGCCAAGUUGUUCCUCUCCACCUCCACACGGUCUUUGUUGUUAGUGAGCUGGUCUACCUGCCCAGGCUGCAGGGAGGAUGUCCGACUCCCCAGGUGGCAUGUUUGCAAGAGGGUCCCUUGCCUCACUGUGCUUUUGCUGGCAGCUGCUAUUGCUUUCCAUUCCAGCAGCUGGAGAGCCCCAAAAGGUCUUCCUUGGGCCCUUUGAGUUCGCUCGAGAGCCGGAAGUGUAUGCAUGCCUCUCCUUCUUGCUCGAUACGGUGAUCCUUCCCUCUUGAAGGUCUUUCCCAUCACACCUCUGCAGUAAUGGAAGACAGAUUUUUUAAAAAAACAUCUUUCAGAGUCUGGGCCUAGUAGCUCUAUUUAUAUUGCAGAAGUACUUUCACAGGUGAAUCACAGUUGUGAAGUAGGGAGGGACAACUCUGUCCUUCAUAUAGUUUUCUCAGAGUUUGAGGUUCUGGUUUUUAUGAAAAGUGGAGUCCUAAUCCUCUUAGUUUCUUUAAAAUACCAGCUCUGAUCACCUUAUCAGCUUGCCUUUUUAGGCUGGAGACAGAUAAUUGUUUUUUCAAAAGUUUAAGGCAAUGUGCACAUCCCAAGCUGCAAUCUCUCUUCACGUUCAUCCCGUAUUAACCUCUGGUAAAAUCGGGUUUUUGUAUUGUUUAACAAUCUCAACACUUGUUUGACUAGAGGCAAUGGGUAUUUCAACCCUGCAGGGCAUCAAAUGGUAAUGAAAGUCUUUUUUGGAUUUUAAGUGCCAUGCUCAGUGUACUGCUAGAACUCAUAUAGGUCUUAAAAGAACUUUAGCAGUAGGUUCACUUUACAGAGAGAAAGCUCUUUUCACAAAUCCAAUGAUUAGGUUUAGAUAAUUAGUGUACUUGUUUUCAGAAUGUAAAGCUGUGGGAACAGUAGUUUAUACAUUUAGCACAUAAGGACAAAGAAGCCCACAGUGCUGCAUCUGUUCUAAAACAGUUACUCUUAAAAUAUUGCAAUAUUUAAUUAUGAAGCAAAUUUCACAUAUUCAUGCUGACACUUUCUAGUAGUAAUUCUUCUACCUAAAAUCUGUCUUUGAGUAAUUUUCAAAUUUUGAUGCUGCUGCCAUUUAAGUUAAAAGAUCUGGAUUUUUCUUCAAAUUAUUGUGUCUUAAAAUCAUGACUUAGGGAAUUUUUUUCAGUUAUGACACUGAUUCUUUUCUGGGAAAUAUAGACAUGUGCUAAAUGUGCAUUAAGGGAGUAAGACACAUCUGUCACCAUUUUGAUACACUUGUAUUUCUGGGGACUUCUAAAUUGUACGCUGAAUUUUAAAUUUCUGCUAUAGGUUAUUCUUGCAUAGAGCAUUAUUACCUAAAUGGAUUGGUUCACCUGUUUUCCUGAUUCUUCUUGCUCUAUAUUUAUACUGUCACAUUUUCAAAACAUUAAUCUCAGUAGUUUGUUAUUGCAUUCUUGUUACCGCAUUCAACCCAAUCUUGGCCUUCACUACAAAUUUGUAAGUAUCGUAACUUCAGGCUUUUCAGCCACUAAAUAUAAGGUGGCCUUUCUGAGAUGUCCUCCUUUUUGGAAAACAAAAUGUGUCUACCUACACAAUGUAUCAUAAUCACUUUAAUGGAGACUUUUGUAAUUUUUUUAAAUUUUUUUAGCUUGAAUGGAUGUUCCAUUUUUUUACACUUUUUUUUACACUUGUCUGCUAUUGUAAAUUUUUGGAUAUGCUGGUUAUUUUGUCUGCCUUAAGAAAAAAAUACUAUUUUGGAUAAACUUUUAUUGUACUGUCUCUUCUGUAAUAAAGCUGGCUUCUCAACA